rnacentral:rRNA from 1 species
UACAGAGGUCUCAAGCGUUGUUCGGAUUCAUUGGGCGUAAAGGGUGCGUAGGUGGCCAACUAAGUCAGACGUGAAAUCCCUCGGCUUAACCGGGGAACUGCGUCUGAUACUGGAUGGCUUGAGUUUGGGAGAGGGAUGCGGAAUUCCAGGUGUAGCGGUGAAAUGCGUAGAUAUCUGGAGGAACACCGGUGGCGAAGGCGGGUCUCUGGGCCGAUAUCGACGCUGAGGAGCGAAAGCGUGGGGAGCGAACAGG